CAUAUCAAUAAGCGGAGGAAAAGAAACUAACAAGGAUUCCCCUAGUAACGGCGAGUGAAGCGGGAAGAGCUCAAGCUUAAAAUCUCCGUGCAAGUUUUGCGCGGCGAAUUGUAGUCUAUAGAGGCGUGGUCAGCGUGGGCGCUUGGGGCAAGUUCCUUGGAAGAGGACAGCAUGGAGGGUGAUACUCCCGUUCAUCCCUGAGUGGCUCGUGCGUACGACCCGUUUUCUUUGAGUCGCGUUGUUUGGGAAUGCAGCGCAAAGUAGGUGGUAAAUUCCAUCUAAAGCUAAAUAUUGGUGCGAGACCGAUAGCGAACAAGUACCGUGAGGGAAAGAUGAAAAGAACUUUGAAAAGAGAGUUAAAGAGUACCUGAAACUGCUGAAAGGGAACCGAAUCGUUUCCAGUGUCUAUAAUCCGUGGCAUAUUUCAUUGGCGAGCGUUUGCGUGCGUGUGCUGUGGCAGUGGCUUUUUUGGCUGCGCCUGGCGUGUGUGCUGUGAGUGUUUGCUGGUGCCCUGUGCUGCGGUGGGACGUCAAGGUCAGUUCGUAUGCUGCGGGAAAUGGCUGCCGAGGAGGUAGGGCUUACGCUCCGCGUUUGUCUGUUAUAUCUUGGUGGACGAGUCGUCGUGGUUGGGACUGAGGUGCCUACAACGUGCUUUUGAGUGGGUUUGUGUCUCCGUGUGCGCCGUGUGCGGAUAGCUUGCUAUGCGUGUGUGGUUGUGUGUGGAUUGAUGCGGGCCUUAACUUGUCGCCGUUCGGGACGUUGACGAAAUGGAGCGAUCCGAC
rnacentral:rRNA from 1 species